rnacentral:rRNA from 1 species
UACAGAGGUCUCAAGCGUUGUUCGGAUUCAUUGGGCGUAAAGGGUGCGUAGGUGGCGGGGUAAGUCAGGUGUGAAAUCUCGGAGCUCAACUCCGAAACUGCACUUGAUACUGCCGUGCUUGAGGACUGGAGAGGAGACUGGAAUUUACGGUGUAGCGGUGAAAUGCGUAGAUAUCGUAAGGAAGACCAGUGGCGAAGGCGGGUCUCUGGACAGUUCCUGACGCUGAGGCACGAAGGCCAGGGGAGCAAACGGG